rnacentral:lncRNA from 1 species
GAGAGGUGUGCCACUCCUUCUUCGGCAGCAAGAUCCAUACCCUGCAGGACGCGCUGUGCAACACCCGGACCGACUGCUACGGCGACCUGCUGCGCGAGGGCGCCGCCGCCUACAUCAACGCCAUCGCCGCCAAGAAGGAGAAGUUCGCCUACACCGCCUACCAGGUCAAGGAGUGCGUCGCCGUCGGGCUCACCUCCGAGUUCGCCGCCGCCGCGCAGGCCGCCAUGUUGAAGAAGGCCAACUACGCCUGCCACUACUAGGAGGCUAGGCUACCGGCCGGCCGCCCCAGCUGGUGGUCGUCGGUGGCUAAAUAAGUCCAUAUAUGCAUGCACGUGUCGUGCAUGUUUUCAUGCAGUUUCCCGGAUGCGCGCGCGCGUGUCCUCCGCUAUGCCUUUAUGUGUUUGCUUGCCGUUUGAUGAUGCAUGCCAUGCCGUCUCAUAUAUACGUAGUGAUGCUUAAUGCUUUGCUUGCUUUUCUUAUCUUCGUUGGUGAUGUAAGAAUAAUUUGAUUGAGGAGUUAUUAGUGAAAGACAUAGUAUGCAUGAUCGCUACCUUUGUUCAGUCUUUGUUUUUUUUUCUUGCGGGGAUCUUUGUUCAGUACUUCAGUUAUAAAAGACACGAAAAGAUCUUAUUGACUAGGAAGUGUCCAAGUAAGACUAUGUACCCAUGCAUCACAAGAUCAUUUGAUCUUGGGUUGGGUGGCGCUAUCGUUGUGUCAUUGCGCAUCAACCUAGGCCAAUAUUCCACCUUUCCUGGUAUUCCAUCCGUAAAGAAAUAAGAGAUCAUUUAGAUCACUAUAUUAGUGAUCUAAACGAUCAAGGGAGUACCUUUUAGUUAAAACAUCUUUAUUAUGUUGAGUUUAAUAUUUUCAUUCUACUAGACUAGAUCGCUUGGGGAUGGGAACUUGGUGCUCUCGGGUACCCUCGCACCCUAUGUGCGCCAAAAAAAUUAGUAAUUCAAAAAAAUAGAAUCUUUUUUAAAGCAAACAUGAUCAGGUAUUGUGCUCCUAUUAAAUGUUUGGACAAGAAAUUAUUCCUUAUUGACUUCGGGGUAAAAAUGACAAAUUUAUGACAACAAUAUAGUGUGUACAGUACUUGUAUAUAGCUUUUUUUUUAAUCUUUGAGCUAGGAUGCAAUGAAAGUCAUUCUCUGACAAAAGUUUUUAUACGAGUACAAUACAUGAUCAUGUUUGAUUCCAAAAAAAAUUGAAUUUUUUUGAAUUUUUGAAUUACUAUGUUUUUUGCAUAUAUAUGGUGCGCUGGCACCCGAGAUCACCAAUGUAUUUUCCGCCUAGAGCACCUCUUUCUUAGGAUACAGGCACACGCUAUAUCUGAAUAAAAUGCCUAUAAGCUAACAAAAAAAGGGACAACUACUUCCUGUGGUCUUGAAAAGUUGGCGUUUUAGACAUUGAGACGUUUUAAAAGUAUAACUUUGGCUAUUCUUAUAACGUAUACGCACUGACAUUUUUCGGAACCAAGGCACUACCGAUUGAUUUCUUUCAAGUCAAUAUCGAUCGAUGGCUAGAUGAAUGUGUGUGUCCUAUUUACCCCUCGCUGUGGCGAUUUGUGGACCAAUCACACAGGAAAGGAGGGACAGAGCAGGAGAUGGGCCUGGCCAAUUAGCUAUAUAUUCUAGAAGGUUCCGGUCCAGUUUAGAUCUGGUUUUGUUGUUUUUGUUUUUUUCCCUCUAUUCUUCAGGAUUUUUUUUUUAAAAUUAUUCAGUAUUUCAAAAAAUGUUCAAGUCUCAAUUAUUUUUCAAAUAAUUAAAAAAUGUUUGCGCUUUAUAAAAAUUGAGAAUUUUAAAAAUGUUUGCAUUUUCAAAAAUUGUUUGGAAUUACAAUAAUUGAUCACUCUUUAGAAAAUAUUCGGGAUUACAAAAAUACUUGAUGUUUUCAAAAAUUAUUCGCAAUUUCAAAAAACGUACAGUAAUUUCAAAAAUGUUUGCAAUUUCAAAAGAUGUUCAAAAUCUUCAAUAAUUGUUCACAAAUUUCAGAAUAUGUUUUGAAAAAUCAUUUUUUCUGAAUCUACCAUUGCAUUUAGUUCUUAAAGUUUCGUGCUGCCAAUUAGUCACUAACGCUCAAUAGAUCUAUGUAACAUCUCAAAUUUUUAAUUUGGAAUGUUAUACAUAGGUCAUUCAUGCAUAUCAUAUUUUAUUGCAUUUUGUUUUGCGAUCCUCGAAAUUCUAAGCAACUCAAGGACCCACGGAGAGAGUUGGGGAUUUCACGUUUUUCAUAUUUGAAUUUUAUCAAAUAUCGAAACAAGGAUCACUUUGGUUUUAAUUAUUUUUCUCUCUGAAAAUAUUCCAUAUUAAAAUAUAUGAGACGAGAUAAUAUGACUUCUCCAAAAUAAAUGGAAUAUUGGAAGAAAAAUACCAAAACCAAAUAAAUAAUUUUAUUUGAAUUUUAUUGCAAUUUUAUUUGAAUUAGAAAAAAAUGAAUAAUUUAAAAUUGCAUUUUAGGCCAAUUAAAUGUUCACUUUGUUCUAAAUAUUCUAUUUAGAUGGCAAAAAUUUGUUUUGGUAUUUUUAGAUUUUUAUUUUUACUUUCUAGGAUUUUUUCUGGCAAAAUCAGUUAAAAAAAAAGGGUUGCUUCGGACCGACUGGGCCGAAAGCCCAGCCGGCCCACGCGCUGCGUCACCCCGACCCCGAGCGGGAGUCCGCCGCCCGUACGCGGCUGCGCUGUGGCCGACUCCGCCUCGCCCCGCCGCCUUGCCCCUCCCCCACGCCACCCCCACCCCUCAUAAAUACCGCCGCCNNNNNNNNNNNNNNNNNNNNNNNNNNNNNNNNNNNNNNNNNNNNNNNNNNNNNNNNNNNNNNNNNNNNNNNNNNNNNNNNNNNNNNNNNNNNNNNNNNNNNNNNNNNNNNNNNNNNNNNNNNNNNNNNNNNNNNNNNNNNNNNNNNNNNNNNNNNNNNNNNNNNNNNNNNNNNNNNNNNNNNNNNNNNCGCCACCACUCCCCUCUAAGGAUGGCAAUGGGUAGGGUAUGGGCAGGGUAGAGCAAUACCAUACCCACACCCAUAUAGUUAGUGGGUACAAAAUUCUACCCAUACCCGUACCCAUGGGCAUGAAACUUUACCCGUACCCAUACUCGACGGGUACCCAUACCCAUUUGAUACUCGGCGGGUAGAACAAAUAGUACACGAGUUGUUCAUAUUUUUACACUCAUUGAUCGCAUAGUUGACAAAAAAAUCAAUUAUCUCAGCUCAAUAAUAGGUACAUGAGUACAACAUACUCAGAAGUCACAUGACAAGUUAACGAUUAAUUGACGAUAACUUAACAUUGGUUCACAAUCGGGCAGGGUACGGAUAUACCCGUGGGUACAAGGCUAUACCCGUUCCCUACCCAUGACAUAAUGGGUAGGGUAUGGGUACUACCCAUGGGUAUAAAAGUGUGCCCAUACCCUGCCCAUGCGGGUACGGUACCCAUAGGUACCCGUACCUGUGGGUAAAAUUGCCAUCCUUACUCCCCUCCCCUCAUAAAUACCGCCGCCGCCGCCCCCCUUGCCCCACACUACCGCCCCGCCCCGCAGCCGAAGCCGCCGCGCCGCCGCCUUCUGUCGCCGCUGUUGCGCUACUCCGCCGCCAACUUCUGCCGCCGCCACCGCUACUCCACUGCCGCCGCGCCGCCCCACGCCGCCCCGCGCCGCUUCACCACCGCCCCGCCCCGCCGGAAGCCCCGCCGGAGCCGCCGCUCGCCGGAUCUACUGCCGUCGGUCUUUUCCGGCUAAACGAUAGAACCGUUCGUUUUUUUAUAAAACCCUAGAUUCGUUUUUUAUUAGAAUCGGUCCGGUUUUCUCGGUUUAGUUAUUUAGCGGACGUUCGUCCGUUCGUUCGUUUUAACGAAUGCUGGUCGUUAGUUAGCUGCAGACAGCGAACGUUCGUUCGUUAGCCUGUUCGUCUCGUUUUAUUUUUUCAGGGUUUUUCCGCGAUUAUUUCCGAUCGCGAUUUCUGCCCUGAUCUUCGUUUUAGUUUAUCUUUUCGCUCGUUUAUCCAAAUCAGGUGAAACAAGCGCCUAGAUCUUCGUCUCGAAGCCCUCUUUCCGUUUAACCAACUUGAACAAGAUUUUGGUACUUUAAAAUCUGACUUUAGUCCAGAUUAGUAAACGGAUCUUGUUUCUUUCGUAGUUUGAGUUUCGUUGCUCCGUUUGAUUUGAUUCUUUCUGCAAACCGGAGUUCUUCAGUUGAACUUUCUGGUUAGAUCUUCUUGUUUGAGUUUUACCCAUGCAUCUGUUUGAUUGCUUAUGUAUGUUAUUGUUUGUUUGCGAUACCCGGAGUGUGAAGCGUGCUACUACGAGUCACUAGGUUUUGCGGAUCGUCAGCAAGGCAAGUAACACAUUGAUCAUACCCCUUUAUUACCCAGUUUUUAUGCAUUUGUUUCAACCCUCACACAUUGCAUGAGUAGGACCUCUUAACAUGUGGGUCUCGGAAGUAGAUGAUGAGGUAGAACCUAUUACCUGUUUUAUUAUCAAACCCUUGGGAGUUACUUCUACGUUACGCUUAUAUUGCCAUGCUAUGCUCGUAGACGUGGUUUGGGUUUGAGAGUAUCCAUGACAGAUGUGAGUUUGUUAAUUAAUGGUUCAACUUAAGGUGGCAACUUUAAUACACAUCUGGGUGGAUUGCUUGUGGGCACCUGGAGAAUCCAGUGUUGUCCUAGGAUAUCCCAGAGUACCCGUGUGAUCAUCCUACGGUCCGCCACCCAGGCUCAAAGGGAUCAUAAGAUUGUUCAUGCUAGAAACUUCCAUGUGCAGCCACAAGCUAUUAUGAGCUCUAGCAUAGUUGAGUAUGUUGCAUGACCUCUUUCAGUGGUAGGCUAGAAGAUGUAGAGGGAAAGUAGGUGUAACUGUCUGCCCAGAGUAAAGAGUUAGUGCUUCUAAAAGACUGUGUCUCGGUCAUCCGUUUCUCAAACACCAUGUAGUGCGAGAAAUCCAACGGAGGAGAUCGAGUCUUGUGGGGAAAAGUGCGCAAACCUCUGCAGAGUGUAUAAACUAAUCAUGGUUAGCCGUGUCCCCGGUUAUGGACAUCUUGAGUAUCUGGUACAUGAAUUAUUGAUUUGAUCUCAUCACUCUAAAUUAAUUUGUUGGGAUGAUAAUGAUUACUUUAAUUGGGAUUGAGUUGAAGGAACCUUCUCAAUGAUGUUUCAACCACCAUGAUAGUUAAAUAAAAUCUAUUCCUUUGUUGUACGGAAAAAUUGGCUUUUUGGCAAAACAUUAUAACCAUAGAGCCUCCACCAGCCAUAUAUGCAUGUAGUGAUAGCAUUUAUCUGUUCAUUGCUUUACUGUGUUAAAUUGCCAGCAUAUUCCAUGUGCUGACCCGUUUCGGGCUGCAACAUAUCAUGUUGCAGACUUUUCAGACGAAGAGUAAGGUGCGCUAGGUCGUUUGUCAUGCACUCAGCUAUGUCGUUGGAGUUGAUGGACUCACUUUAUCUUCCAAGCCUUCCGCUGUUAUCGUAUUUUGAUGAUCUUAAGCCAUAUCUAUUGUAAUAAGUUGUCUUUUGAGACAUUCGAUGUAAUAAGUGUGUGAUUGCUAUUCUGUUAUAAAUCCUUCGAGUACUGUGUGUGUCAGCGUUACCGAUCCAGGGAUGACAUUGAACACAGAGAUUUGACCGUAUGAGGUCGGAUCGCUACAAGAUGGUAUCAGAGCACACGUUGAUUAUAGGACACGACCACUAAGAUGAGCCAUAGGUCACUCUUCUCUACUCAUUUCUGACUCCUCUCCAUUUUCUACUCUUUAGGAUGGUGGACUCAAGGAACAAGUUUGCUCAACCGGAUGAAGACACACCCUUUGGACGACACUUGAAGGAAGUCACUAGGUACCUGAACAUCGGAAUACCCAGCUUCACCGGGACCUACACCGCCACUUUACCAGAAGAGGAGCGCUGGAUGAUUCGAGUUCAAGUUCCAGGGAGGACAUUCACGCCAGUCACUGAGCCCAUAGAGUUUUCCUUUGAUGCACCCACCUGGAGUCUAGGCAAGAGCAUGGCAGCCCACAUUACUAUGGGACGAAUUGGAGAAGUCUACAAACAGGAGCUGAAGGACACUAUCUACCAGAUAUGUGGGCGCCGAGAUGAGCAAUGGGAGAUGAUCAGCACUAGGAGGGACAAGUCCAUUGCAGCUUUCAUCCAGGAGUUAAACCAGCACAUUCGUCGAUAGGAGAAUCAGAUGUGCGCAGGCAUGAUAGAUUUGAAGAAGGCGAUGACCAAGAACAUGAGCUAGAAGAGGAACUCAAGUCUACUCGCGACGGAUACGAGGAGGAAAUCACGAUACUUGUGGAGAAGAAUGACGACCUGACAAGGAAGCUAGGAGUUUUCAUGGGAGACCCCGCGCCAAGAGGAGAAGACGACGAACCCAAGGAAAUUCGUUCUGAAGACUACAUCAUCAUCGACGACACCGACUCCGACCCUGAUGGUAGUGAUGAUGACUAUGAAGACGAAGCUGGAGUGGAUAUCAUGGAGUCUUCCACCGAUCAAAGUUUCUACAUGACCACCAUAUGAAUAGUAGUUUUCCCCCAUGUAUAUAGUAGUAGUCCGAGCACUUUUGUUACGAUAGUUCUAGACCGAUUAUAUGCCCUUGCUUGAAUUGAUUUGGUGUGAUAUGAUUGUGUUUGUCCCAUGCGCAUAUGGGUAGUGUUUUCUCCCUAGACCUCAUUCUAUUCUAACCUCUCCCCUCUAAACCCAUCAGAUGCCUCCGAGACGUCAUACCAGAUUUUUCUUCCCACCAGAGAUCACCCAGUUGAUCCAGCAGUAGAAUGCCUUGAUGCAGAUAUUAGUCCAGCGCCAAGGCAACAACAACAACAACCCUCCACCACCACCAGUUGACAACUUAGACCGUUUUCUGAUGUUGCAGCCACCGGUGUUUUCCAGUAGCACCGAGCCAAUAGUUGCUGAUGACUGGCUACGCCAUAUUGGAAGGGAGUUGACCACCGCAGGUUGCACAGAUGCUGAGAAGGUGCGUUUUGCCGCACAUCAAUUGGAUGGACCAGCCGCUUCAUGGUGGGAGAAUUAUACAGCCACUUUUCCUAUAGCCAAUAUCACUUGGGAUUAGUUUCAGCAAGCAUUUCGCACCGCCCAUGUCUCAACUGGAGCUAUGAGCAUGAAGAAGCGUGAGUUUCGCAACUUGCGCCAGGGAAAUCGUACUGUGGCUCAGUACGUAGAUGAGUUUAGUAAACUAUCUCGCUAUGCCCCUGAUGAUGUGGCCACAGAUGCCACGAAGCAGGAGAAGUUUAUGGAAGGGUUGAAUGAUGAGAUGAGCAUGCAGUUGAUGGUGGCAACAUUUAACAACUACCAGGAGCUGGUAGACAAAGCUCUUAUGAUUGAAGGGAAGCAGCAGUAGAUUGAAAGCUGCAAGAGGAAGUAUGGACAAGGAAAAUACAAUUCUGGAGCUCAGCACAAGCCCCGUUUCACCCCGAACUCGGGAGGAUAUACCCAUAACCAUGGAGGCCACACUCACAAUGGAGGAAGAUCGCAUAAUCACAAUGGCCCCAAGAAUGGGAAUGGGAAUGGAGCAAGCAGUAAUCAGAACCGCUCCAAUCCAGCCACACCCGCCAAGAAGGACCUAAGUCACAUUACUUGUUUCAAGUGCGGGAAGACUGGACACUAUGCCACUGAGUGCCCUGAAGCGAAGAAUGGGAAUGGCAAUGGAAGCUCUGGGAAGAAACCCAACCCUUUCAACAGGGGACAAGUGAACCACGUGAACAUGGAGGAGGUUGAAGAGCAGCCUGAUGCAGUUGUCGGUAAGUUUUUGGUUAAGUCAUUUACUGCAAUUGUUCUUUUUAAUGUUGGUGCAUCGCAUUCAUACAUUUCAAGGGGAUUCGUGGAUAAAUAUAAGUUGCCCACCAAAGUACUUAGGCACCUAUGUUAGUAAGCUCACCAGGAGCGGAGUAUAUGGAAGUCAAGGAUGUUUUCAGAUGCCAUUGACCAUUGGAAGCCAUGUUUUCCCCUCAGACCUGGUAAUUUUGGAGUCACAAGGAUUGGAUGUGAUACUGGGCAUGGAUUGGCUAUCGAUGUAUGGGGAAACAUCGAUUGCGCCAGUAAGUCAAUUUUACUCACCACCCCGGAGGGAAAAAGGAUCAAGUAUGUAUCUAGGCAUGCGCCUAGGAGGACCCAAGUAAAUUUUCUGUCGGGAGUUGUUCAAGAGGAAGUGCCUGUAGUGAAGGAUUACCCAGGUGUAUUUCCAGAGGAGCUACCAGGCAUGCCGCCAGAUCGGGACAUUGAGUUUUUGAUAGAACUAUUGCCAGGCACCGGACCGAUAUUGAAGAGACCAUACUGGAUGCCCGCGAAUGAUCUGGAAGAGAUCAAGAAGCAGAUUAAGGAGUUAUUGGAGAAAGGUUACAUUCGACGAAGUUCAUCACCAUGGGGAGCCCAGUGCUCUUGGUCGAGAAGAAGGAUAGAUUCUUAAGAAUGGUUGUUGAUUACCAUGCAUUGAAUGAGGUGACAAUCAAGAACAAGUACCCACUGCCGAUGAUCAAUGAUUUGUUUGACCAGCUCCAAGGAGCUAAAGUAUUCUCCAAAAUCAAUCUGCGAUCAGGGUACCACCAGCUGAAGAUCCGAGAAAAGGAUAUACCUAAGACAACUUUCACCACAAGGUAUGGGCUAUAUGAGUAUACGGUUAUGUCAUUUGGAUUGACUAACGCCCCUGCCUAUUUCAUGAGUAUGAUGAAUAAGGUGUUCAUGGAAUUCUUGGAUAAGUUUGUCGUGGUGUUCAUUGAUGAUAUCUUGGUGUACUCGAAGAACGAGGAGGAACACAAGGAACAUUUGCGUUUGGUUCUUGAGAAGCUCAGGGAACAUCAGUUAUAUGCCAAGUUCAGCAAAUGUGAGUUUUGGUUGAAGGAAGUUGGAUUUAUUGGACAUGUUACAUCAGGAGAAGGUAUAGCAGUGGAUCCUACCAAGGUUCAGUCAGUCACUGAGUGGUUGGCGCCCACCUCAGUUGGAGAGAUCCGCAGUUUUCUUGGACUCGCGGGAUACUAUCGGAGAUUCAUUGAGAAUUUCUCCAAGAUUGCGAAGCCUAUGACGGCAUUGUUGAAGAAGGACACCAAGUUCCAUUGGACUGAAGAAUGCGAAGCAAGUUUUCAGGAGUUGAAAAAAUGUUUGACUACAGCCCCAGUGCUGAUUCUGCCGGAUAUACGCAAGGAUUUCCAAGUGUAUUGCGACGCCUCUCGCUUAGGACUUGGAGGAGUACUUAUGCAAGACGGAAGAGUUGUUUCAUAUGCCUCAUGUCAACUUCGACCGCACGAGUUGAAUUAUGCCACGCAUGAUUUGGAGUUAGCAGCUGUAGUGCAUGCGCUCAAGACCUGGAGACAUUUUCUCAUUGGAAACCGUUGUGAUGUAUACACGGAUCACAAGAGAAUAUUUUCACUUAGAAGGAGCUAAACCUCAGGCAGAGGAGAUGGUUGGAGCUCAUAAAGGAUUAUGAUAUGAAGUUACACUAUCAUCCAGGCAAGGCCAAUGUCGUAGCAGACGCUUUGAGCCGGAAGAGUUAUGUCAAUACCCUCGUAAAUGGAGGAUUGCCAAAGGAGUUAGCAGAAGAUCUCAGGGAGCUUCGUUUGAAGAUAGUUCCUAGAGGUUUUGUUGCAACAUUGGAGGUUCAAUCAACAUUACUGGGAAAGAUUCGAGAAGCUCAGAAGGAUGACAAAGAAAUUGCUGAGAUAAAGGAGAAGAUGAGUGAAGGAAAAGCCAAAGGUUUUUGUGAGGAUGAACACGACACUUUGUGGUUUGAGGACCGUGUUUAUGUGCCCAAUAAUGCCGAGAUCAGGAAGUUGAUACUACAGGAAGCACAUGACUCGCCAUACUCGAUACACUCCGGAAACACUAAGAUGUACUUGGAUUUGAAGGAACAUUUCUGGUAGACUGGAAUGAAGAAGGACAUUGCCGAGUAUGUAGCCAUAUGUGAUGUAUGUCAGAGAGUGAAGGCAGAACAUCAGAAGCCAGUAGGAUUACUGUAGCCUAUGCCGAUACCCGAAUGGAAGUGGGACAAGCUUGGCAUGGAUUUCAUCACCGGAUUACCCAGGACCCGAUCGGGAUAUGACUCUAUCUGGGUAGUAGUGGAUCGCUUGACCAAAGUAGCUCACUUUAUCCCAGUGAAAACCACCUAUACCAGUGCAAAGUUGGCCAAGAUAUAUAUGACCAGGAUCGUAUGUCUGCAUGGAGUUCCGAGGACCAUCGUAUCAGAUAGAGGAACAUAGUUUACUUCAAAUUUUUGGCACCAACUGCACCAGACUUUGGGUACCAGGCUAGAGUUCAGUACAACCUUUCAUCCGCAGACAGAUGGAUAGACCGAGAGAGUCAAUCAGAUUCUGAAGGACAUGUUGAGAGCUUAUGCGCUAGAUUAUGGAUCUAGUUGGGAUGACAAUUUGCCCUACGCGGAAUUCUCGUACAACAACAGCUACCAGGCCAGUUUGAAGAUGGCACCGUUCGAAGCCUUGUAUGGAAGAAGAUGUCGAACACCGUUGAUGUGGGAUGAAGUUGGAGACCGUCGGUUAUUUGGACCGGAUUUGAUUAAAGAGUCAGAAGAGAAGGUUAAGCUGAUUCGAGAUAGACUGAAGGUAGCUCAGUCCAGACAGAAGAGUUAUGCAGACUCAAAACGCAAGGAGGUAGUCUAUGAAAUCGGAGACAGAGCAUAUCUGCGAGUGUCACCUCUACGAGGAGUUAAACGUUUGGGAGUUAAGGGAAAGUUAGCCCCGAGAUUUGUAAGACCGUACCGUGUUUUGGAAUGCAUGGGAGAGGUUGCCUACAAGUUGGAGUUACCCGAAGGACUGUCAGGAGCUCAUGAUGUGUUUCACGUUUCCCAGCUGAAGAAAUGCCAUGCAGAUAUGGCCGAUAUUCCUCUGAGAGAUAUAGUACCCCUGGAAGCAAUUAAUUUGGAUAGUGAUCUCACCUACGAGGAGAAAUCAGUCAAGAUUCUCGAGUUUUCCAGCCGAGUUACACGCAACAAGGUUAUCAAGUUUUGCAAAGUUCAGUGGAGCCACCAUACCGAGGAUGAAGCCACUGAUACGUCUCCAACGUAUCUAUAAUUUUUGAUUGUUCCAUGCUAUUAUAUAUUCUGUUUUGGAUGUUUAAUGGGCUUAUUUAUGCACUUUUAUAUUAUUUUUGGGACUAACCUAUUAACCGGAGGCCCAGCCCAAAUUGCUGUUUUUUUUGCCUAUUUCAGGGUUUCACAGAAAAAGAAUAUCAAAUGGAGUCCAAACAGAAUGAAACCUUCGGGAACGUGAUUUUCGGAACAAACGUGAUCCAGAGGACUUGGAGUGGACGUCAAGCAACAAACGAGGAAGCCACGAGGUAGGGGGCGCGCCCUCCACCCUCGUGGGCUCCUCGUUGCUCCACCGACGUACUUCUUCCUCCUAUAUAUACCCAUAUACCCUGGAAACAUCAUAUACGGAGCCAAAACCCUAUUUCCACCGCCGCAACCUUCUGUACCCGUGAGAUCCCAUCUUGGGGCCUUUUCCGGCGCUCCGCCGGAGGGGCAUUGAUCAAGGAGGGCUUCUACAUCAACACCAUAGCCUCUCCGAUGAUGUGUGAGUAGUUUACCCCAGACCUUCGGGUCCAUAGUUAUUAGCUAGAUGGCUUCUUCUCCCUCUCUCUUUGGAUCUCAAUACAAAGUUCUCCUCGAUUCUCUUGGAGAUCUAUUUGAUGUAACUCUUCUUUUGCGGUGUGUUUGCCGAGAUCCGAUGAAUUGUGGGUUUAUGAUCAAGUUUAUCUAUGAACAAUAUUUGAAUCUCCUAUGAAUUCUUUUAUGUAUGAUUGGUUAUCUUUGCAAGUCUCUUCGAAUUAUCAGUUUGGUUUGGCCUACUAGAUUGAUCUUUCUUGCAAUGGGAGAAGUUCUUAGCUUUGAGUUCAAUCUUGCGGUGUCCUUUCCCAGUGACAGCAGGGGCAGCAAGGCACAUAUUGUAUUGGUGCCAUCGAGGAUAAAAAGAUGGGGUUUAUAUCAUAUUGCAUGAGUUUAUCCCUCUACAUCAUGUCAUCUUGCUUAAAGCAUUACUCUGUUCUUAUGAACUUAAUACUCUAGAUGCAUGCUGGAUAGCGGUCGAUGUGUGGAGUAAUAGUAGUAGAUGCAAAAUCGUUUCGGUCUACUUGUCACGGACGUUAUGCCUAUAUACAUGAUCAUACCUAGAUAUUCUCAUAACUAUGCUCAGUUCUAUCAAUUGCUCGACAGUAAUUCGUUUACCCACCGUAAUACUUAUGCUCUUGAGAGAAUCCACUAGUGAAACCUAUGGCCCCCGGGUCUAUUCUCCAUCAUAUUAAUCUUCCAACACUUAGCUAUUUCUAUUGCCGUUUAUUUUACUUUGCAUCUUUAUUUCUCUUUAUCAUAAAAAUACCAAAAAUAUUAUCUUACCAUAUCUAUCAGAUCUCACUCUCGUAAGUGACCGUGAAGGGAUUGACAACCCCUUUAUCGCGUUGGUUGCGAGGUUCUUAUUUGUUUGUGUAGGUGCGUGGGACUCGAGCAUGGUCUCCUACUGGAUUGAUACCUUGGUUCUCAAAAACUGAGGGAAAUACUUACGCUAAUUUACUGCAUCACUCUUUCCUCUUCAAGGGGAAACCAACGCAGUGCUCAAGAGGUAGCAAGAAGGAUUUCUGGCGCCGUUGCCGGGGAGGCCUACACCAAGUCAAGUCAAGAUUUGACUCCCGACAAGGAGCCAUUUCUGGCGCCGUUGCCGGGGAGUCUACGCACAAGUCAAGACAUACCAAGUACCCAUCACAAACUCUUAUCCCUCACAUUACAUUAUUUGCCAUUUGCCUCUCAUUUUCCUCUCCCCCACUUCACCCUUGCCGUUUUAUUCGCCCUCUCUUUCCGUUCGCCUCUUUUUUUCGCUUGCUUCUUGUUUGCUUGUGUGUUGGAUUGCUUGCUUGUCACGAUGGCUCAAGACAAUACUAAAUUGUGUGACUUUGCCAAUACCAACGACAAUGAUUUUCUUAGCACUCCGAUUGCUCCUCUUACCGAAGCUGAAUCUUGUGAAAUUAAUGCUGCUUUGUUGAAUCUUGUCAUGAAAGAUCAAUUCGCCGGCCUUCCUAGUGAAGAUGCCGCUACCCAUCUAAUAGCUUCGUUGAUUUGUGUGAUAUGCAAAAGAAGAAAGAUGUGGACAAUGAUAUUGUUAAGUUGAAACAAUUUCCGUUUUCUCUUAGAGAUCGUGCUAAAACUUGGUUUUCGUCUUUGCCUAAAAAUAGUAUUGAUUCUUGGAAUAAGUGCAAAGAUGCUUUUAUCUCUAAGUAUUUUCCUCCCGCUAAGAUCAUCUCUCUUAGAAACGAUAUUAUGAAUUUUAAGCAACUUGAUCAUGAACAGAUUGCACAAGCUUGGGAGAGAAUGAAAUUAAUGAUACGUAAUUGCCCUACACAUGGUUUGAAUCUUUGGAUGAUUAUACAAAAAAAUUAUGCCGGAUUGAAUUUUGCUUCUAGAAACCUUUUAGAUUCGGCCGCGGGAGGUACUUUUAUGGAAAUCACUUUAGAGGAAGCUACUAAACUCUUAGAUAAUAUUAUGGUUAAUUAUUCUCAAUGGCACACCGAAAGAUCUACUAAUAAAAAAGUGCAUGCGAUAGAAGAAAUUAAUGUUUUGAGUGGAAAGAUGGAUGAACUUAUGAAAUUAUUUGCUACUAAAAGUGUUUCUUCUAAUCCUUAUGAUAUGCCUUUGUCUACUUUUAUUGAGAAUAAUAAUGAAUCUAUGGAUGUGAAUUUUGUUGGUAGGAAUAAUUUUGGUAACAACGCGUAUAGAGGAAACUUUAAUCCUAGGCCGUUCCCUAGUAAUUCCUCUAAUAAUUAUGGUAAUUCCUACAACAAUUCUUAUGGAAAUUUUAAUAAGAUGCCCUCUGGAUUUGAGACUAGUGUUAAGGAUUUUAUAGUUCGCAAAAGAAUUUCAACGCUUUGCUUGAAGAAAAAUUGCUUAAGGUUGAUGAAUUGGCUAGGAACGUUGAUAUAAUUUCUGAAAGAAGUGACAGAAGAAAGCUACGGGCAUAUACCCCUGCCCCGGGAAAAAGGUGCCACCUCAACAGCUAUAUUCUAAAUCGUUAAGCCUCGCAACCCUUUCCUUUGUAUCGGACCUUUCCCGCUUUGAAGUUGAUUCUUUGAAACUUAGAUCUAUUCCACCUAAGCAUGAUAUCAAUGAGUCUCUCAAAGCUAUGAGAAUUUCCAUUGAUGAGUGCAAAGAAAGAACCGCUAGGAUGCAUGCUAAGAAAGAUUGCUUUGUGAAAGCGUGUUCUUCUAAUUUUUACGAGAAUAAAGAUGAAGAUCUAAAAGUUAUUGAUGUGUCCCCUAUUAAAUCUUUGUUUUGCAAUAUGUAUCUUGAUAAUUAUGGGACUGGAGAUGAGUCAACUUUAGUUAGAAGGCGUCCCACAAAUUCGGAGUUUUUAGAUCUUGAUGCAAAAAUUGGUAAAAGUGGGAUUGAAGAGGUCAAAACUUUAGAUAUCAAUGAACCCACUAUCUUGGAUUUCAAGGAAUUUAAUUAUGAUAAUUGCUCUUUGAUAGAUUGUAUUUCCUGGUUGCAAUUCGUGCUAAAUUCUCCUCAUGCUUAUAGUCGAAAUAAAGCUUUUACUAAACAUAUCGUUGAUGAUUUAAUGCAAUCUUAUGAAGAAAAACUUGAGUUGGAAGUUUCUAUCCCAAGAAAACUUUAUGAUGAGUGGGAACCUACUAUUAAAAUUAAAAUUAAAGAUCAUGAAUGAUAUGCUUUGUGUGAUUUGGGUGCUAGUGUUUCCACGAUUCCAAAAACUUUGUGUGAUUUGUUAGGUUUCCGCGAAUUUGAUGAUUGUUCUUUAAACUUGCACCUUGCGGAUUCCACUAUUAAUAAACCUAUGGGAAGAAUUAAUGAUGUUCUUAUUGUUGCAAAUAGGAACUAUGUGCCCAUAGAUUUCAUUGUUCUUGACAUAGAUUGCAAUCCUUCAUGUCCUAUUAUUCUUGGUAGACCUUUCCUUAGAACGAUUGGUGCAAUUAUUGAUAUGAAGGAAGGGAAUAUUAGAUUCCAAUUUCCGUUAAGGAAAGUCAUAGAACACUUCCCAAGAAAGAAAAUUAAAUUACCUUAUGAAUCUAUUAUGAGAGCCACUUAUGGAUUGCCUACCAAAGAUAGUAAUACCUAGAUUUAUCCUUGUUUUUAUGUCUAGCUAGGGGCGUUAAACGAUAGCGCUUGUUGGGAGGCAACCCAAAUUUAUUUUAGUAUUUUGCUUUUUGCUUCUGUUUAGGAAUAAAUCUUUGAUAUAGCCUCUGGUUAGAUUUGUUUUUAUGUUUUAGUUAGUGUUUGUGCCAAGUUAAACCUAUAGGAUCUUCUCGGAUGAUAGUUAUUUGAUCUUGCUGAAAAUUCCAGAAACUUUCUGUUCACGAAAACAAUUGUUAAAAAUCACCAGAACGUGAUAAAAUACUGAUUCCAAUUUAAGUAGAUCAACAAACAAAUUAUUUAGGUCUUCCUAUUUUGGUAGAUUUUUCUGAGUUCCAGAAGUUUGCGUUAGUUACAGAUUACUACAGACUGUUCUGUUUUUGACAGAUUCUGUUUUUCGUGUGUUGUUUGCUUAUUUUGAUGACUCUAUGGCUAGUAAAAUAGUUUACAAACCAUAGAUAAGUUGGAAUACAGUAGGUUUAACACCAAUAUAAAUAAAGAAUGAGUUCAAUACAGUACCUUGAAGUGGUGUUUUGUUUUCUUUCGCUAACGGAGCUCACGAGAUUUUCUGUUAAGUUUUGUGUUGUGAAGUUUUCAAGUUUUGGGUAAAGAUUUGAUGGAUUAUGGAACAAGGAGUGGCAAGAGCCUAAGCUUGGGGAUGCCCAUGGCACCCCAAGGUAAAUCCAAGGACACCAAAAAGCCAAAGCUUGGGGAUGCCCCGGAAGGCAUCCCCUCUUUCGUCUUCGUCCAUCGGUAACUUUACUUGGAGCUAUAUUUUUAUUCACCACAUGAUAAGUCUUUUGCUUGGAGCGUCUUGUAUGAUUUGAGUCUUUGCCUUUUAGUUUACCACAAUCAUCCUUGCUGUACACACCUUUUGAGAGAGACACACAUGAUUCGAAAUUUAUAAGAAUACUCUAUGUGCUUCACUUAUAUCUUUCGAGCUAUAUAGUUUUUGCUCUAGUGCUUCACUUAUAUCUUUUAGAGCACGGCGGUGGUUUUGUUUUAUAGAAAUUAUUGUUCUCUCAUGCUUCACUUAUAUUACUUUGAGAGUCCUACAAAACAGCAUGGUAAUUUUCUUUAAUUGAGAAAUUAGUCCUAAUAUGCUAGGUAGUCAAGAUUAGUAAAAACUUUCUUAUGAGUGUGUUGAAUACUAAGAGAAGUUUGAUGCUUGAUGAUUGUUUUGAGAUAUGGAGGUAGUGAUAUUAAAGUUGUGCUAGUUGAAUAGUUGUGAAUUUGAGAAAUACUUGCGUUGAAGUUUGCAAGUCCCGUAGCAUGCACGUAUGGUAAACGUUGUGUAACAAAUUUGAAACAUGAGGUGUUCUUUGAUUGUCCUCCUUAUGAGUGGCGGUCGGGGACGAGCGAUGGUCUUUUCCUACCAAUCUAUCCCCCUAGGAGCAUGCGCAUAGUGCUUGGUUUUUGAUGAUUUGUAGAUUUUUGCAAUAAGUAUGUGAGUUCUUUAUGACUAAUGUUGAGUCCAUGGAUUAUACGCACUCUUACCCUUCCAUCAUUACUAGCCUCUUCGGUACCGUGCGUUGCCCUUUCUCACCUUGAGAGUUGGUGCAAACUUCGCCGGUGCAUCCAAACCCCGUGAUACGAUACGCUCUAUCACACAUAAGCCUCCUUAUAUCUUCCUCAAACAACCACAAUACCUACCUAUUAUGGCAUUUCCAUAGCCAUUCUGAGAUAUAUUGCCAUGCAACUUUCCACCGUUCCGUUUAUCAUGACACGUUUCAUCAUUGUCAUAUUGCCUUGCAUGAUCAUGUAGUUGACAUCGUAUUUGUGGCAAAGCCACCAUGCAUAUUAUUUCAUACAUGUCACUCUUGAUUCAUUGCCCUUCCCGGUACACCGCCGGAGGCAUUCAUAUAGAGUCAUAAUUUGUUCUAGUAUCGAGUUGUAAUCAUUGAGUUGUAAAUAAAUAGAAGUGUGAUGAUCAUCAUUCAUAGAGCAUUGUCCCCAAAAAAAGAGAAAGGCCAAAAAAAGAAAGGCCCAAAAAAAAGAAAAUAAAAUAAAAAGGGGCAAUGCUACUAUCCUUUUUCCAUACUUGUGCUUCAAAGUAGCACCAUGAUCCUUAUGAUAGAUAGUCUCUUGUUUUGUCACUUUCAUAUACUAGUGGGAAUUUUUCGUUAUAGAACUUGGCUUGUAUAUUCCAACAAUGGGCUUCCUCAAAUGCCCUAGGUCUUCGUGAGCAAGCAAGUUGGAUGCACACCCACUUAGUUUCUUUUGUUGAGCUUUCAUACAUUUAUAGCUCUAGUGCAUCCGUUGCAUGGCAAUCCCUACUCCUCACAUUAACAUCAAUUGAUGGGCAUCUCCAUAGCCCAUUGAUUAGCCGCGUUGAUGUGAGACUUUCUCCUUUUUUGUCUUCUCCACAUAACCCCCAUCAUUAUAUUCUAUUCCACCCAUGGUGCUAUAUCCAUGGCUCACGCUCAUGUAUUGCGUGAAAGUUGAAAAAAGUUUGAGAUUAUUAAAGUAUGAAACAAUUGCUUGGCUUGUCAUCGGGGUUGUGCAUGAUGAGAUAAUUCUUGUGUGAUGAAAAUGGAGCAUAACCAAACUAUAUGAUUUUGUAGGGAUGAACUUUCUUUGGCCAUGUUAUUUUGAGAAGACAUAAUUGCUUAGUUAGUAUGCUUGAAGUAUUAUUACUUUUAUGUCAAUAUUAAACUUUUAUCUUGAAUCUUUCGGAUCUAAAUAUUCAUACCACAAUUAAGAGGGUUACAUUGAAAAUUAUGCUAAGUAGCAUUCCACAUCAAAAAAAUUGUUUUUAUCAUUUACCUACUCGAGGACGAGCAGGAAUUAAGCUUGGGGAUGCUUGAUACGUCUCCAACGUAUCUAUAAUUUUUUAUUGUUCCAUGCUAUUAUAUAUUCUGUUUUGGAUGUUUAUUGGGCUUAUUUAUGCACUUUAUAUUAUUUUUGGGACUAACCUAUUAACCGGAGGCCCAGCCCAAAUUGAUGUUUUUUUUGCCUAUUUCAGGGUUUCGCAGAAAAAGAAUAUCAAACGGAGUCCAAACGGAAUGAAACCUUCGGGAACGUGAUUUUCGGAACAAACGUGAUCUAGAGGACUUGGAGUGGACGUCAAGCAAUAGACGAGGAAGCCACGAGGUAGGGGGCGCGCUUACCCCCCUGGGCGCGCCCUCCACCCUCGUGGGCCCCUCGUUGCUCCACCGACGUACUUCUUCCUCCUAUAUAUACCCAUGUACCCUGGAAACAUCAUAUACGGAGCCAAAACCCUAUUUCCACCGCCGCAACCUUCUGUACCCGUGAGAUCCCAUCUUGGGGCCUUUUCCGACGCUCCGCCGGAGGGGGCAUUGAUCACGGAGGGCUUCUACAUCAACACCAUAGCCUCUCCGAUGAUGUGUGAGUAGUUUACCUCAGACCUUCGGGUCCAUAGUUAUUAGCUAGAUGGCUUCUGCUCUCUCUUUGGAUCUCAAUACAAAGUUCUCCUUGAUUCUCUUGGAGAUCUAUUUGAUGUAACUCUUCUUUUGCGGUGUGUUUGUCGAGAUCCGAUGAAUUUUGGGUUUAUGAUCAGUUUAUCUAUGAACAAUAUUUGAAUCUCCUCUGAAUUCUUUUAUGUAUGAUUGGCUAUCUUCGCAAGUCUCUUCGAAUUAUCAGUUUGGUUUGGCCUACUAGAUUGAUCUUUCUUGCAAUGGGAGAAGUGCUUAGCUUUUGGUUCAAUCUUGCGGUGUCCUUUCCCAGUGACAGCAGGGGCAGCAAGGCACGUAUUGUAUUAUUGCCAUCGAGGAUAAAAAGAUGGGGUUUAUAUCAUAUUGCAUGAGUUUAUCCCUCUACAUCAUGUCAUCUUGCUUAAAGGAUUACUCUGUUCUUAUGAACUUAAUACUCUAGAUGCAUGCUGGAUAUCGAUCGACGUGUGGAGUAAUAGUAGUAGAUGCAGAAUCGUUUCGGUCUACUUGUCACGGACGUGAUGCUUAUAUACAUGAUCAUACCUAGAUAUUCUCAUAACUAUGCUCAGUUCUAUCAAUUGCUCGACAGUAAUUCGUUUACCCACCGUAAUACUUAUGCUCUUGAGAGAAGCCACUAGUGAAACCUAUUGCCCCUGGGUCUAUUUUCCAUCAUAUUAACCUUCCAACACUUAGCUAUUUCUAUUGCCGUUUAUUUUACUUUGCAUCUUUAUUUCUCUUUAUCAUAAAAAUACCAAAAAUAUUAUCUUAUCAUAUCUAUCAGAUCUCACUCUCGCAAGUGACUGUAAAGAGAUUGACAACCCCUUUAUCGCGUUGGUUGCGAGGUUCUUAUUUGUUUGUGUAGGUGCGUGGGACUCGAGUGUGGUCUCCUACUGGAUUGAUACCUUGGUUCUCAAAAACUGAGGGAAAUACUUACGCUACUUUACUGCAUCACCCUUUCCUCUUCAAGGGAAAACCAACACAGUGCUCAAGAGGUAGCAGCCACCUGGGAACGAGAGGAUGAUCUACGCAAAGACAACCCACACCUAUUCUCUAGCCAACCCGAAUCUUGAGGACGAGAUUCAUCUUAAGGGGGGGUAGGUUUGUAACAUCCCAAAAUUUUAAUUUGGAAUGUUAUAGAUAGGUCAUUCAUGCAUAUCAUAUUUUAUUGCAUUUUGUUUUGCGAUCCUCGAAAUUCUAAGCAACUCAAGGACCCACGGAGAGAGUUGGGGAUUUCACGUCUUUCAUAUUUGAAUUUUAUCAAAUAUCGAAACAAGGAUCACUUUGGUUUUAGUUAUUUUCUCUCUGAAAAUAUUCCAUAUUAAAAUAUAUGAGAGGAGAAAAUAUGACUUCUCCAAAAUAAAUGGAAUAUUGGAAGAAAAAUACUAAAACCAAAUAAAUAAUUUUAUUUGAAUUUUAUUGCAAUUUUAUUUGAAUUAGAAGAAAAAAUGAAUAAUUUAAAAUUGCAUUUUAGGCCAAGAAAAUGUUCACUUUGUUCUAAAUAUUCUACUUAGACGGUGAAAAUUUGUUUUGGUAUUUUUAGAUUUUUAUUUUUACUUUCUAGGAUUUUUUUCCGGCGAAAUCAGUUUAAAAAAAGGUUGCUUUGGACCGACUGGGCCGAAAGCCCAGGCAGCCCACGCGCUGCGUCACCCCAACCCCGAGCGGGAGUCCGCUGCCCGUAUGCCGCUGCUCCGUGGCCGACUCCGCCUCGCCCCGCCGCCUUGCCCCUCCCGCACGCCACCACCCCUGCCCCCAUAAAUACCGCCGCCGCCGUCCCCCUUGCCCCACGCCACCACCCCCUUCCNNNNNNNNNNNNNNNNNNNNNNNNNNNNNNNNNNNNNNNNNNNNNNNNNNNNNNNNNNNNNNNNNNNNNNNNNNNNNNNNNNNNNNNNNNNNNNNNNNNNNNNNNNNNNNNNNNNNNNNNNNNNNNNNNNNNNNNNNNNNNNNNNNNNNNNNNNNNNNNNNNNNNNNNNNNNNNNNNNNNNNNNNNNNNNNNNNNNNNNNNNNNNNNNNNNNNNNNNNNNNNNNNCUAAAUGGUAGAAUCGUUCUUUUUUUAUAAAACCCUAGAUUCGUUUUUUAUUAGAAUCGGUUCGGUUUUUCUCGGUUUAGUUAUUUAGCCGACGUUCGUCCGUUCGUUCAUUUUAACGACGCUGUUCGUCAGUUAGCCGCACACAGCGAACGUUCGUUCCUUAGCCUAUUCGUCUCGUUUUAUUUUUCAGAGUUUUUCCGCGAUUAUUUUCGAUCGCGAUUUCUGCCCUGAUCUUCGUUUUAGUUUAUCUUUUCGCUCGUUUAUCCAAAUCAGGUGAAACAAGCGCCUAGAUCUUCGUCUCGAAGCCCUCUUUCUGUUUAACCAACUUGAACAAGAUUUUGGUACUUUAAAAUCUGACUUUAGUCCAAAUUAGUAAACGGAUCUUGUUUCUUUCGUAGUUUGAGUUUCGUUGCUCCGUUUGAUUUGAUUCUUUUUGCAGACCGGAGUUCUUCAGUUGAACUUUCUGGUUAGAUCUUCUUGUUUGAGUUUUACCCGUGCAUCUUUGUUUGAUUGCUUAUGUAUGUUAUUGUUUGUUUGCGAUAGAAUUCCCGGAGUGCGAAGCGUGCUACUACGAGUCACUAGGUUUUGCGGAUCGUCAGCAAGGCAAGUAACACAUUGAUCAUACCCCUUUAUUACGCAGUUUUUAUGCAUUAGUUUCGACCCUCACACAUUUCAUGAGUAGGAUCUCUUAACAUGUGGGUCUGGAAAGUAGAUGAUGAGGUAGAACCUAUUACCUGUUUUAUUAUCAAACCCUUGGGAGUUACUUCUACGUUACGCUUAUAUUGUCAUGCUAUGCUCGUAGACGUGGUUUGGGUUUGAGAGUAUCCAUGACAGAUGUGAGUUUGUUAAUUAAUGGUUCAACUUAAGGUGGCAACUUUAAUACACAUCUGGGUGGAUUGUUUGUGGGCACCUGGAGAAUCCAGUGUUGUCCUAGGAUAUCCCGGAGUACCCGUGUGAUCAUCCUAUGGUCCGCCACCCAGGCUCAAAGGGAUCAUAAGAUUGUUCAUGCUAAAAACUUCCGUGUGCAGCCACAAGCUAUUAUGGGCUCUAGCAUAGUUGAGUAUGUUGCAUGACCUCUUUCAGUGGUAGGCUAGCAGAUAUAGAGGGAAAGUAGGUGUAACUGUCUACCCAGAGUAAAGAGUUAGUACUUCUGAAAGACUGUCUCUCGGUCAUCCGUUUCUCAAACACCAUGUAGUGCGAGAAAUCCGUUUCUCAAAUAUCAUGUUGCAGACUUUUCAGACGAAGAGGAAGGUGCGCUAGGUCGUUUGUCAUGCACUCAGCUAUGCCGUUGGAGUUGAUGGACUCACUUUAUCUUCCAAGCCUUCCGCUGUUAUCGUAUUUUGAUGGCCUUAAGCCAUAUCUAUUGUAAUAAGUUCUCUUUUGAGACAUUCGAUGUAAUAAGUGUGUGAUUGCUACUCUGUUAUAAAUCCUUCGAGUACUGUGUGUGUCAGCAUUACCGAUCCAGGGAUGACACUGAACACAGAGAUUUGACCGUCUGAGGCCGGAUCGCUACAAUGUAGUGCCUAGAAACACCCGGUCACUUGCUAGAUGUCCCGUGUUGAUCCCUUGCAAGUGCAUUCCACUUUUUGGAAUUUUACGUCACACUUUUUCGGUGCCUAUAAAUGGGCCAGCCUAGUUGGGGCACCCCUGUGCGUCGCACCACUAUUGGACACAAUGACCGUCCAAUAGGAGGUCCCAGAUGAAUGGGCACAACAGCCAUGCACUGGAAAAUCUAGAUCACUUUAGGCCCAUAAUUUUCUUUCCACCGCCCCCACCCACACAAUAGAACGAGCUUGUCAACGUUUUAACUCGCUUAUUUCAAGACACUCGGAUGAACAAAAUGGUCGGCCCAAGAAGUGGUUUUUUAUAGCAUCUAAACACCGGUAUGUAGAACAUUGCACCCAAUUUUAGGAAGGUUUUGUGUGCUUUUCUUCUUCUUCUUUUUUCGUCAUUUUCACUAUUUUCCUUUUCUCAAUUUUAUUAUUAUAAGUUUUCUUCUCUAAAUACAUAUCAAAUUUCUAUCGAACACAAGUUGAACAUUAUUGUGUAUAGGUUCAACAUUGUUUUGGAAAAUUUGAAUAUUUUUAAUAGAACUUCUAUCGGGAUACAUUUUUAACAUUUGUGAAAUGGACAUUAGAUAUUUUUUAUAAACAUAGUGAACACGUUUUAACUAGAAAAUCAACUAUUUAAACACACUUUGAACAUUUUGUAAAAAACAUAAAGUUUUUAAUGCACUAUGAAUAUUUUUAUAAAUUACAAGAACCAAUGUUUUUUAGUUCAUGAUUUUCCUUUUAAAUGUAAGGAAACAUAUUUUUAAUCAUACAAACAUUUUCAUUGCAAUGAUUUUUUUUUAAUUUUGCAAAGUUAUUCAAAUAAUAAGAAUAUAUUUUUACAUUUUCAUGAACAUUUUUGAAAAAAUUCAGGAACAAAAUUUGGAAUUUGUGCCUUUUUAGUGACACUGACAUUUUUAAAAGUUAUAUGAAAACUUUAAAUUGCAUGAAAAAUUAGACAUGCUAAACUGUGCCUAAGCGUAUUUUCCUUAUUAUGCGCUCCGGCCAUCCGGCGCGGGCGGAGCAACCAAUUAAACCCACCCGUGUACGUCGCCUCCUAUAAAAGUGGGUGGUAAAAGAAUUUGUUAGUUUUACUACUGAAUAGCAAGUGCAUUACCAUCAAAAUAUCAACGUAAAUCCACCGGCGCACGUCCUCUUCUAUUUGUAGUGGGUGGUAAAAGAAUUAUCAGUUUUACUACCGAAUACUAAGUGCCUUACUAUCAAAUUAUCAACACCAACUAUAUCCACCCGUGCACACCUCCUCUAUGUAGUAAUGGAUGGUAAAAGAAUCCAUUGGGUUUACUAUUGAACAUUAAGUGGAAGGGGCUAUCAACACCUCCUCUAUGUAGUAAUGAAUUAUCAGUUUUACUACCGAAUACUAAAUGCCUUACCAUCAAAUCUGUACACACUAGAAGUAGUAAAAGGGGCUAUCACCUUUAUUAUAAAACACGAGGUAUGCUACUAUCAAAUCUCAUGUUGAUUUUGAGUUGUAAAACUUACUAUCACUUUGCAGGUUGACCAAGCAAACAUUAGAAAUUCUCUUGGAGCAUUACUAUGUGACUUAUUAUUUUACGAGCACAUGCAAGAAAGACAAAAUGGUUAGUUGUUUACGGGGCGAAGGAUGGUGUAUGACUGAUGGUAACAGAACUAAUUACAUUACUAUAGAUUCAAGCAAUUUUACCAUGGCCUUACAAGGCGGAGAAGUUGUCUGUGGCAUGUAGUAACCAAUUAAAUUGUAUUACUUUUUUCUCAAGUGGUUUUACCAUCAUUAGCAAUCGCUUGUUCGACCGAGCGCACCCGCUGGCGUAUAGCGGCCGGAGCGCACGAUUAGGCUUUUGCGCUCUCGCUCACUAUAUAUAUAUAUAUAUAUAUAUAUAUAUAUAUAUAUAUAUAUAUAUAUAUAUAUACUAUUCAUCACCUAGGGUACAGAAUAAGUUAUUCUUCACCCGAGGUAAUCUUACGAUCAUUUCAUAAUUAAAUUACGUUUGGAAUUCAAAUACUUACCUUUUUAUUGAUUCAUUACAUAAAAUUUGGCAUAAGAAAAUAAAAAUAUAGGUCAUAAGACAAGAAAACUUGCAGUUUAUGUGUAUUUUACACUAUGUUUUUACGUUUGUAAUUUUACAUAAUAUAAAAUAUUUUUUACGACGAUUAUAUAUUUUCUUACGGUCUCUUUUUACGUCGGAAAUAAAACAAAACUUACGGAACGUAAAAUUACGGUGCAUUGAUGGUAAAAUAGAGGGGGUGAAGAAUAACUACUCCUCACCCUAAUAAGUCACAUAGUGCAGAAUAAAAUAGGGGCGGUGGGGGGAAUGCAAACUAUCUCCACUCGAAGCAGACAAGUACAAUGAGAAAAGCAGCAACGCAUCGGGCCAGCUGUAGAAAAAUAUUUAAGAAUUUUAAAAAUGUUUGGAAAUAUGGAAAAUGUUUGCGACUUUGAAAGAGAUCCAUUUUUUAAAGUUCAAUAAUUAUACAAAAACCGAAACUUAAAAAUGUUCACAAACUUAAAAAAGACGUUCACGAACUUGAAGAAUAGAUUACAAAUUAGAAAAACUUUUCAUUAAUUUGAAAAAAAGUUCAAAAUUUAAAAAAUGUAGGCAUAGUUAAUUUUUUCAUGAAUUCGGAAAACAAUGUUUGUGAAUCAAAAAGGGAAAUAUGAAAACACGAAAAUAAACGGGAUCAAGGAAAAUAAAAGAUAGUUAAACAGAAAGGAAGCGAAGUAACCAGAGAAAGAAACAGAAAAAGGAAGGAAAAACAGGCGGAAGGAUCCAAAAGCUUGCUAAAACCGGAUGUUAGAUCCUGACCAUAUAUUGGCGCGCCUAAAAUGAGCCUGCCUGAUGGAGCAUUUUAGCGGGUGAUUAUGUUCGUAUUGCUCGCAAAGAGCGAUACACUGUCUUUGCAUAAUCCAUAUUUGUCAUUCGUUGCGGGGAACAGUUGGUGAAACACGAACAACGCCAUAAUUUGGCUGUAGUAGUACACACAAUGGACCGGUUUCAAGAACCUGCUAUUAUUGUUCAACAUGUAUUUGGAAAAAAAUAUGCUGAACAUGUAUCUGAAAAACAUUUAACAUGUGUUUAAAAAAUAUUCAAUACAUGUAUAAAUGUACAUCAUACAAUUUGUAUUGAAAUAUAGUAUAGACAUGUGUUGAAAAAGAGAAAGGAAAAAUGAAGAAAAAGAAGAAGAAAAACAGUGGUGAAACCCAGAAAAAUAAAAAACCUGAAUCAAACCAGCGAUGUAACAAAGAAAAACAGAAAACCUAAGAAACCCAAUGAAAAAACGUUACAAAUAGCACAAAGAAACAAAACAAAGAAAAAUAUCAAACAGAACCAACUCAUACGAGCUACAAUUUUAGCCCCAGCCUGUUAACCGAUUGCAAGGCAAGACGAGGAUACAUCCCGUAGUAGGAAGAUAUAGCCCUGGGGGAUUGAUGCAAUACGCGUCACAUAGCAUGGCAAAACCUAUUGACACUCUUUCCGUCGAUUUGUCCUGCAAACACACAGACAGAGCGAGGUGAGCGAUUAAUCAGGCCGGCCCAUUUCAUGUUCCAUAUAUCCCUAUUUUGGGAACUUUCUAGAAAGUUUCUCACACGUUCAGGUCUGUUUCUUUCCUGUUGUUUCUUUCACUCAUUUCCUUUGGUUUCCCCCUUUUAUUUUUAAAAUUCUCACCUUUCAAACAAUGUUCUGAAUUUUAAAAAGUUGAUCAGAAUACCAAGAAAUGUUUGGGUCUAAAAAAAAAUCAUGACUUCAAAUAUUGUUCGAAGCUUCAAAAAAUGUCCCCAUUUUGAAAAUUUCUUUUCAAAUUCAAAAAAUGUUCAUGUUUAAAAAAUAUAUUUAAAAAUUCAAACAAAAGAUCAUGGUUUAUAAAAUUGUUCGGGGUUUUCCAAGAUGGACAUGUUUACCAAUUUUUUAAAAAUGUUCGAAAAAAAGUUUCCGUCUUCAAUUUUUUGGGGGGAAUUGUCAAAAAUUGCUCGCAUCGUCGCUGACCUUCGUAAAGGUCUAGCCGAGCUUGCCGAGGUAGGAUUUGAGCGACGGAUCCAUGGUCGCAAGCAACUGUUGGCGCUUCUCCAUGUUACCGACAAAGGGUGGUGGAGUGGCCUCUGAUACCACGUUGUUAGGUACCAACUACCAGUCUCUCUUAGAUCGGAGGAAAAUUGAUAUGGUGGUGAUUACAGGUGGUCUCGAGGAGGAAGAAGAAUUACAGAGAAGGAUUGAUACAACUAUCAGUCGACGCCGGAUCCCAGCCAGUAUGACUCGACGCCUACUAUACCCUCUCCUAUAUGCUAAAUCACUCACACGUCUCCUAUAUGAACUUGUGAUUGGGCCUUCUCUCCCUUAACGGCCUGUUGGACUUGGCGUUCUCCCCCUCUGGCCUUUAGGAUACGGCUGCCCCACUUGCCAGGUUGGUGACACGAGGGCCCCUGCUUCUCUAGUGAUGCAACUCUCCCAUCUAUUUGUUGGGGAACGUAGUAAUUUCAAAAAAAUUCCUACGCACACGCAAGAUAAUUGUGGUGCAUAGCAACGAGAGGGGAGAGUGUUGUGUACGUACCCUCGUAGACUGUAAGCGGAAGCGUUUUAUCAACGCGGUUGAUGUAGUCGUACGUCUUCAUGAUCCGACCGAUCCAAGUACCGAACGCACGGAACCUUUGAGUUCUGCACACGUUCAGCUCGAUGACGUCCUCGCCUUCUCGAUCCAGCAAGAGGGGCGAAGUAGUAGAUGAGUUCCGGCAGCACGACGGCGUGGUGACGGUGUUGGUGAAGAACAAUCUUCGCAGGGCUUCGCCUUAACACUACGAAAACUAUGAUGGAGGAUAAACUAGAGGGGACGGGGUUGCAGGCACACGGCUUGGUGUUUCUUGAUGUGUCUUGGGUGCUAGCCCUACCCCUCUAUUUAUAUGUUGAGCCUUGGGGUUGAAACUUGGAGUAAAAGCCUCCACAAAGUCGGUUUCACCCGAAAGGCAAGAGUCCUUCUCGGACUCCAGGGCCAGACGCCAGGGACCCUGGCGUCUGGCCCCUGGACUCCGCAAAACUUCCUUUUGCGCUUUCCAAAAACCUCGUGGGCUUUCCCCUUUGGCCCAGAUAAAGUGUUCUUGUGCCCAAACAUUUCGGGAAACAUCCGGAACCCCUUCCGAUGGAUUCCGGAACCUUUCCGGAGAUCAAACACUACUAUCCACAUAUCAAUCUUUACUUCCGGACCAUUCCGGAGUUGCUCGUCAUAUCCGUGAUCUCAUCCAAAACUCCGAACAACAUUCAGUCACCAACAUACAUAACUCAUAGUACUAUAUUGUCAACGAACGUUAAGCGUGUGGACCCUACGGGUUCGAGAACUAUGUAGACAUGACCGAGACACCUCUCUGGUCAAUAACCAAUAGCGGGACCUGGAUGCCCAUAUUGGCUCCUACAUAUUCUACGAAGAUCUUUAUCGGUCAGACCGCAUAACAACAUACGUUGUUCCCUUUGUCAUCGGUAUGUUACUUGCCCGAGAUUCGAUCGUCGGUAUCUCAAUACCUAGUUCAAUCUCGUUACCGGCAAGUCUCUUUACUCGUUCUGUAAUACAUCAUUCCGCAACUAACUCAUUAGUUGCAAUGCUUGCAAGGCUUAUAGUGAUGUGCAUUACCGAGUGGGCCCAGAGAUACCUCUCUGACAAUCGGAGUGACAAAUCCUAAUCUCGAAAUACGCCAACCCAACAAGUACCUUCGGAAACACCUGUAGAGCACCUUUAUAAUCACCCAGUUACGUUGUGACGUUUGGUAGCACACAAAGUGUUCCUCCGGUAAACGGGAGUUGCAUAAUCUCAUAGUCAUAGGAACAUGUAUAAGUCAUGAAGAAAGCAAUAGCAACAUACUAAACGAUCGAGUGCUAAGCUAAUGGAAUGGGUCAAGUCAAUCACAUCAUUCUCCUAAUGAUGUGAUCCCGUUAAUCAAAUGACAACUCAUGUCUAUGGCUAGGAAACAUAACCAUCUUUGAUCAAUGAGCUAGUCAAGUAGAGGCAUACUAGUGACACCCUGUUUGUCUAUGUAUUCACACAAGUAUUAUAUUUCCGGUUAAUACAAUUCUAGCAUGAAUAAUAAACAUUUAUCAUGAUAUAAGGAAAUAAAUAAUAACUUUAUUAUUGCCUCUAGGGCAUAUUUCCUUCAGUCUCCCACUUGCACUAGAGUCAAUAAUCUAGAUUACACAGUAAUGAUUCUAACACCCAUGGAGCCUUGGUGCUGAUCAUGUUUUUCUCGUGGAAGAGGCUUAGUCAACGGGUCUGCAACAUUCAGAUCCGUAUGUAUCUUGCAAAUUUCUAUGUCUCCCACCUGGACUAGAUCCCGGAUGGAGUUGAAGCGUCUCUUGAUGUGCUUGGUUCUCUUGUGAAAUCUAGAUUCCUUCGCCAAGGCAAUUGCACCAGUAUUGUCACAAAAGAUUUUCAUUGGACCCGAUGCACUAGGUAUGACACCUAGAUCGGAUAUGAACUCCUUCAUCCAGACUCCUUCAUUUGCUGCUUUCGAAGCAGCUAUGUACUCCGCUUCACACGUAGAUCCCGCCACGACGCUUUGUUUAGAACUGCACCAACUGACAACUCCACCGUUCAAUGCAAACACGUAUCCGGUUUGCGAUUUAGAAUCGUGUGGAUCAGUGUCAAAGCUUGCAUCAACGUAACCAUUUACGAUGAGUUCUUUGUCACCUCCAUAAAUGAGAAACAUAUCCUUAGUCCUUUUCAGGUAUUUCAGGAUGUUCUUGACCGCUGUCCAGUGAUCCACUCCUGGAUUAGUUUGGUACCUCCCUGCUAGACUUAUAGCAAGGCACACAUCAGGUCUGGUACACAACAUUGCAUAUAUGAUAGAGCCUAUGGCUGAAGCAUAGGGAACAUCUUUCAUCUUCUCUCUAUCUUCUGCAGUGGUCGGGCAUUGAGUCUUAUUCAACUUCACACCUUGUAACACAGGCAAGAACCCUUUCUUUGCUUGAUCCAUUUUGAACUUCUUCAAAACUUUGCCAAGGUAUGUGCUUUGUGAAAGUCCAAUUAAGCGUUUUGAUCUAUCUCUAUAGAUCUUGAUGCCCAAUAUAUACGCAGCUUCACCGAGGUCUUUCAUUGAAAAUCUCUUAUUCAAGUAUGCCUUUAUGCUAUCCAGAAAUUCUAUAUCAUUUCCAAUCAGCAAUAUGUCAUCCACAUAUAAUAUCAGAAAUGCUACAGAGCUCCCACUCACUUUCUUGUAAAUACAGGCUUCUCCAAAAGUCUGUACAAAACCAAAUGCUUUGAUCACACUAUCAAAGCAUUUAUUCCAACUCCGAGAGGCUUGCACCAGUCCAUAAAUGGAUCGCUGGAGCUUGCACACUUUGUUAGCUCCCUUUGGAUCGACAAAACCUUCCGGUUGCAUCAUAUACAACUCUUCUUCCAGAAAUCCAUUCAGGAAUGCAGUUUUGACAUCCAUUUGCCAAAUUUCAUAAUCAUAAAAUGCGGCAAUUGCUAACAUGAUUCGGACAGACUUAAGCAUCGCUACGGGUGAGAAGGUCUCAUCGUAGUCAAUCCCUUGAACUUGUCGAAAACCUUUUGCAACAAGUCGAAGACAGUAACAUUACCGUCAGCGUCAGUCUUCUUCUUGAAGAUCCAUUUAUUCUCAAUUGCUUGCCGAUCAUCGGGCAAGUCAACCAAAGUCCACACUUUGUUCUCAUACAUGGAUCCCAUCUCAGAUUUCAUGGCUUCAAGCCAUUUUGUGGAAUCUGGGCUCACCAUCGCUUCUUCAUAGUUCGUAGGUUCGUCAUGGUCUAGUAACAUAACCUCCAGAACAGGAUUACCGUACCACUCUGGUGCGGAUCUUACUCUGGUUGACCUUCAAGGUUCAGUAAUAACUUGAUCUGAAGUUCCAUGAUCAUCAUCAUUAACUUCCUCACUAAUUGGUAUAGGCGUCGCAGAAACUGGUUUCUGCGAUGAACUACUUUCCAAUAAGGGAGCAGGUACAGUUACCUCAUCAAGUUCCACUUUCCUCCCACUCACUUCUUUCGAGAGAAACUCCUUCUCCAGAAAAAUUCCGAAUUUAGCAACAAAAGUCUUGCCUUCGGAUCUGUGAUAGAAGUUGUACCCAACAGUCUCCUUUGGGUAUCCUAUGAAGAGACAUUUCUCCAAUUUGGGUUCGAGCUUAUCAGGUUGAAGCUUUUUCACAUAAGCAUCGCAGCCCCAAACUUUAAGAAACGACAACUUUGGUUUGUUGCCAAACCACAGUUCAUAAGGCGUCGUCUCAACGGAUUUUCAUGGUGCCCUAUUUAACGUGAAUGCAGCCGUCUCUAAAGCGUAACCGCAAAACGAUAGCGGUAAAUCAGUAAGAGACAUCAUAGAUCGCACCAUAUCUAGUAGAGUACGAUUACGACGUUCGGACACACCAUUACGCUGUGGUGUUCCGGGUGGCGUGAGUUGCGAAACUAUUCCGCAUUGUUUCAAAUGAAGACCAAACUCAUAACUCAAAUAUUCUCCUCCACGAUCAGAUCGUAGAAACUUUAUUUUCUUGUUACGAUGAUUUUCAACUUCACUCUGAAAUUCUUUGAACUUUUCAAAUGUUUCAGACUUAUGUUUCAUUAAGUAGAUAUACCCAUAUCUGCUUAAAUCAUCUGUGAAGGUGAGAAAAUAAUGAUAUCUGCCACGAGCCUCAACAUUCAUCGGACCACAUACAUCUGUAUGUAUGAUUUCCAACAAAUCUGUUGCUCUCUCCACAAUUCCGGAGAACGGCGUUUUAGUCAUCUUGCCCAUGAGGCACGGUUCGCAAGUACCAAGUGAUUCAUAAUCAAGUGGUUUCAAAAGUCCAUCAGUAUGGAGUUUCUUCAUGCGCUUUACACCGAUAUGACCUAAACGGCAAUGCCACAAAUAAGUUGCACUAUCAUUAUCAACUCUGCAUCUUUUGGCUUCAAUACUAUGAAUAUGUGUAUCACAACUAUCGAGAUUCAACAAAAAUAGACCACUCUUCAAGGGUGCAUGACCAUAAAAGAUAUUACUCAUCUGAAUAGAACAACCAUUAUUCUCUGAUUUAAAUGAAUAACCGUCUCGCAUCAAACAAGAUCCAGAUAUAAUGUUCAUGCUUAAUGCUGGCACCAAAUAACAAUUAUUUAGGUCUAAAACUAAUCCUGAAGGUAGAUGUAGAGGUAGCGUGCCGACCGCGAUCACAUCGACUUUGGAACCAUUUCCCACGCGCAUCGUCACCUCGUCCUUAGCCAAUCUUUGCUUAAUCCGUAGCCCCUACUUCGAGUUGCAAAUAUUAGCAACAGAACCAUUAUCAAAUACCCAGGUGCUACUGCGAGCAUUAGUAAGGUACACAUCAAUGACAUGUAUAUCACAUAUACCUUUGUUAACCUUGCCAUCCUUCUUAUCCGCCAAAUACUUGGGGCAGUUCCGCUUCCAGUGACCAGUCUGCUUGCAGUAGAAGCACUCAGUCUCAGGCUUAGGUCCAGACUUGGGUUUCUUCUCCUGAACAGCAACUUGCUUGCUAUUCUUCUUGAAGUUCCCCUUCUUCUUCCCUUUGCCCUUUUUCUUGAAACUAGUGGUCUUAUUGACCAUCAAUACUGGAUGCUCCUUUUUGAUUUCUACCUCCGCAGCCUUUAGCAUUGCGAAGAGCUUGGGAAUCGUCUUAUCCAUCCCUUGCAUGUUAUAGUUCAUCACGAAGCUCUUGUAGCUUGGUGGCAAUGAUUGGAGAAUUCUGUCAAUGACGCUAUCAUCCGGAAGAUUAACUCCCAGUUGAAUCAAGUGAUUGCAGUACCCAGACAUCUUGAGUAUAUGCUCACUGACAGAACUAUUCUCCUCCAUCUUGCAGCUGUAGAACUUAUUGGAGACUUCAUAUCUCUCAAUCUGGGCAUUUGCUUGAAAUAUUAACUUCAACUCCUGGAACAUCUCAUAUGCUCCAUGAUGUUCAAAACGUCGUUGAAGUCCCGGUUCUAAGCCGUAAAGCAUGGCACACUGAACUAUCGAGAAGUCAUCAGCUUUGCUCUGCCAGACGUUCAUAACAUCUGGUGUUGCUCCUGCAGCAGGUCUGGCACCCAGCGGUGCUUCCAGGACGUAAUUCUUCUGUGCAGCAAUGAGGAUAAUCCUCAAGUUACGGACCCAGUCCGUGUAAUUGCUACCAUCAUCUUUCAACUUUGCUUUCUCAAGGAACGCAUUAAAAUUCAACGGAACAACAGCACGGGCCAUCUAUCUACAAUCAACAUAGUCAAGCAAGAUACUAUCAGGUACUGAGUUCAUGAUAAAUUUAAGUUCAAUUAAUCAUAUUACUUAAGAACUCCCACUUAGAUAGACAUCCCUCUAAUCCUCUAAGUGAUCACGUGAUCCAUAUCAACUAAACCAUGUCCGAUCAGCACGUGAGAUGGAGUAGUUUCAACGGUGAACAUCACUAUGUUGAUCAUAUCCACUAUAUGAUUCACGCUCGACCUUUCGGUCUCCGUGUUCCGAGGCCAUAUGUGUUAUAUGCUAGGCUCGUCAAGCUAAACCUGAGUAUUCCGCGUGUGCAACUGUUUUGCACCCGUUGUAUUUGAACGUAGAGCCUAUCACACCCGAUGUAACGCCUGGAUAAUCAUGCUACAGUAAUCUCACGUUAAUGAUGCCACGUCACCACGGUUACUGUUGUUAACCGCGCGAUGAUUCGAAACCGUUUCAAGAUUUAAACAAAAAUGUUCGGUGGGUGCCAGAUAUUGCACUGAUAAUUAUUGUGGAGAAAACAUAUUUUUAGAAAAUGCCUAACUAUUUUAAAAUAAUGUAAAAUAGAAAAGAAAAUAAAUAAAAAGAAAAGAAAAUGCAACAGAGGAAACAAACAAAAAAAACAAAAACAAAAGAGGAGCCCCCCCCAUACUGGACCCUGGCCCAACUGGGCCGACCCCCAGGCCCAGCCGGCCGGCCCACCCCUCUCACCUUAUCCCCUCACCCCAACUCCCCACCGACAGCUCCCCCCACUCCCCCCGAAAUAUCCCCCCUCUCCCCCGAUCUGGAUCGGGAGGAGGCCCUCGCCGNNNNNNNNNNNNNNNNNNNNNNNNNNNNNNNNNNNNNNNNNNNNNNNNNNNNNNNNNNNNNNNNNNNNNNNNNNNNNNNNNNNNNNNNNNNNNNNNNNNNNNNNNNNNNNNNNNNNNNNNNNNNNNNNNNNNNNNNNNNNNNNNNNNNNNNNNNNNNNNNNNNNNNNNNNNNNNNNNNNNNNNNNNNNNNNNNNNNNNNNNNNNNNNNNNNNNNNNNNNNNNNNNNNNNNNNNNNNNNNNNNNNNNNNNNNNNNNNNNNNNNNNNNNNNNNNNNNNNNNNNNNNNNNNNNNNNNNNNNNNNNNNNNNNNNNNNNNNNNNNNNNNNNNNNNNNNNNNNNNNNNNNNNNNNNNNNNNNNNNNNNNNNNNNNNNNNNNNNNNNNNNNNNNNNNNNNNNNNNNNNNNNNNNNNNNNNNNNNNNNNNNNNNNNNNNNNNNNNNNNNNNNNNNNNNNNNNNNNNNNNNNNNNNNNNNNNNNNNNNNNNNNNNNNNNNNNNNNNNNNNNNNNNNNNNNNNNNNNNNNNNNNNNNNNNNNNNNNNNNNNNNNNNNNNNNNNNNNNNNNNNNNNNNNNNNNNNNNNNNNNNNNNNNNNNNNNNNNNNNNNNNNNNNNNNNNNNNNNNNNNNNNNNNNNNNNNNNNNNNNNNNNNNNNNNNNNNNNNNNNNNNNNNNNNNNNNNNNNNNNNNNNNNNNNNNNNNNNNNNNNNNNNNNNNNNNNNNNNNNNNNNNNNNNNNNNNNNNNNNNNNNNNNNNNNNNNNNNNNNNNNNNNNNNNNNNNNNNNNNNNNNNNNNNNNNNNNNNNNNNNNNNNNNNNNNNNNNNNNNNNNNNNNNNNNNNNNNNNNNNNNNNNNNNNNNNNNNNNNNNNNNNNNNNNNNNNNNNNNNNNNNNNNNNNNNNNNNNNNNNNNNNNNNNNNNNNNNNNNNNNNNNNNNNNNNNNNNNNNNNNNNNNNNNNNNNNNNNNNNNNNNNNNNNNNNNNNNNNNNNNNNNNNNNNNNNNNNNNNNNNNNNNNNNNNNNNNNNNNNNNNNNNNNNNNNNNNNNNNNNNNNNNNNNNNNNNNNNNNNNNNNNNNNNNNNNNNNNNNNNNNNNNNNNNNNNNNNNNNNNNNNNNNNNNNNNNNNNNNNNNNNNNNNNNNNNNNNNNNNNNNNNNNNNNNNNNCCUCGCCCCCCUGAGCCACUGCCCCCUGGGCCCGAACCCCGUGGGCCUAUGACAAACGGGGCCCAGCCCAGAGAACGUGUUAAAAAAAUGAAAUGAUAAAAAUAAAAAUAAAAUAAUAAUAAAAACAAUAAACUAGUUAAUAAAAAUUAAUAAAUAAUUAAAUAAAUAAAUAAAUAAAAAUAAAAUUAAUAAUAAAACAAAUAAUAAAAAUGAAUUUAAUUAAUUAACUAAAUUAAUUAAGUUAAUUAAUCCUGUUUAAAUUAAUCUAAUUAGAUAAUUAAUUUAAUUAAACAGUAAUUAUUUAGCUAAACCCUAAUUAACCUAAAUAGAGAAUGACAGGUGGGUCCCACUGGACCCACAUGUCAGUUUGACCUAGUCAACCCCAGUUGACUGCUGAUGUCAGCAUGACAUCAUGCUGAUGUCAUAAAUCCAUUUUCGAAUUAAUUUAAAUAAUUAAUUAAAUUCCAGAAAUUAAUAAAAUCUUUAGAAAAUCAUAUCUUUUAAUCCGUAACUCGGAUUAAAAUAUUUUCAACAUGAAAGUUGCUCAGAACGACGAGACGAAUCCGGAUACGCAGUCCGUUCGUCCACCACACCUCCCUAACCUAUCGAACUCGCAACCUUCCCCCUCCGGUCCAUGUGUCCGAAAACGCAAAACAUCGGGAAUACUUUCCCGGAUGUUCCCCCCCUUCGCCGGUACCACCUACUGUCGCGUUAGGACACACCUUGCACUGCUCAUUGUCAUGUCACGCAUCGUCAUGCUUAUGUUUGCAUUGUAUUUACUGUUUCUUCCCCCUCUUCUCUCCAGUAGACUACGAGACCGACACUGCUGCUGCCCAGUUCGACUACGGAGUUGACGACCCCUCCUACUUGCCAGAGCAACCAGGCAAGCCCCCCCUUGAUCACCAGAUAUCGCCCAUUCUUCUCUAUACUGCUUGCAUUAGAGUAGUGUAGCAUGUUACUGCUUUCCGAUAUCCUAUUCUGAUGCAUAGCCUAUCCUUGCUACUACUGUUGUUACCUUUACCUGCAAUCCUACAUGCUUAGUAUAGGAUGCCAGUUUUCCAUCAGUGGCCCUACAUUCUUGUCCGUCUGCUGUGCUAUACUAUCGGGCCGUGAUCACCUGGGCCGUGAUCACGGGUAUAUACUUAUAUACUAUAUACAUGACACAUGUGAUGACUAAAGUCGGGUCGGCUCGUAGGAGUACCCGCAAGUGGAUCUUGGUGGCGGAACGACAGGGCAGGUUGAGACCGCCUAGGUGAGAGGUGGGCCUGGCCCUGGACGGCGUCCGCGGUUACUUUGACAGAACACGCUUAACGAGUUCUUGGUAUUUGAUCUGAGUCUGGCCAUUUGGUCUAUACGCACUAGCCAUCUACGCGGGAGUAGUUAUGGGUAUCCCGGCGUCGUGGUAUCAGCCGAAGCUCUUUUGACGUCAGCGACGGAGCGGCGCGCGCCGGAUUGGACUGGAACGCCACUAGGCUAGGUCUGCUUACGGCCGCCCUCGCAACGUGCAGGUGUGCAUAGGGCGAUGGGCCCAGACCCCUGCGCGCAUAGGGUUAGACCGGCGUGUUGACCUCUCGGUUGAGCCUAGGUGGGGCUGCGACGCAUUGAUCUUACGAGGCCGGGCAUGACCCAGAAAAGUGUGUCCGGCCAAAUGGGAUCAAGCGUGUUGGGUUAUGUGGUGCACCCCUGCAGGGAAGUUUAUCUAUUCGAAUAGCCGUGUCCCUCGGUAAAAGGACGACCCGGAGUUGUACCUUGAUCUUAUGACAACUAGAACUGGAUAUUGAAUAAAAUACACCCUUCCAAGUGCCAGAUACAACCCGGUGAUCGCUCUCUAACAGGGCGACGAGGAGGGGAUCGCCGGGUAGGAUUAUGCUAUGCGAUGCUACUUGGAGGACUUCAAUCUACUCUCUUCUUCAUGCUGCAAGAUGGAGAUGACCAGAAGCGUAGUCUUCGACAGGACUAGCUAUCCCCCUUUUAUUCUGGCAUUCUGCAGUUCAGUCCACUGAUAUGUCCCUUUACACAUAUACCCAUGCAUAUGUAGUGUAGCUCCUUGCUUGCGAGUACUUUGGAUGAGUACUCACGGUUGCUCCUCUCCCUCUUUUCCCCCUUUCCUUUCUAUCUGGUUGUCGCAACCAGAUGUUGGAAUCCAGGAGCCAGACGCCACCGUCGACGACGACACCUACGACACUGGAGGUGCCUACUACUACGUGCAGCCCGCUGACGACGACCAGGAGUAUCUAGGAGGAUCCCAGGCAGGAGGCCUGCGCCUCGUUCGAUCCGUAUCCCAGUUUGUGCUAGCCUUCUUAAGGCAACCUUGUUUAACUUAUGUCUGUACUCAGAUAUUGUUGCUUCCGCUGACUCGUCUGUGAUCGAGCACUUGUAUUCGAGCCCUCGAGGCCCCUGGCUUGUAAUAUAAUGCUUGUAUGACUUAUUUAUGUUUUAGAGUUGUGUUGUGAUAUCUUCCCGUGAGUCCCUGAUCUUGAUCGUACACAUUUGCGUGCAUGAUUAGUGUACGGUCAAAUCGGGGGCGUCACAAGUUGGUAUCAGAGCCGACUGCCUGUAGGAACCUUCUUUCCACACUCCUUUGCCGAAGUCGAGUCUAGACAUUACAAAACUUUUACUAACAUGGCUGUGUGUCUUACGGGCCCACGUCGCCAUUGGGUGGUACUAGGAUCUUUUACUCCUCGACCUUUACUCUGGGACUCUGAACUCUCUUCUACUCGGGUUAAACGAAUUUACUAACUCUAACAGUAGGAUCCCGUGACCGCAUUCACCCCAAAGUUGGAUAAGCCAUAGUUGAUUCUUAGAAUAGUAUUUUGAACAAUUCACACACUGUCAUUUGACUCCUUUGAAACGUCUUUGCUUUCAGAUGGAACCCACGAGGCAGGUCGUGCGCCACACGACGGCCAUUGGUGCCUUGGGAUCACCUGCGGUGCUAGCUGAGAUGAUGACCUAUCUGGGUUAUCGCUGGCACCCUGAGUACACCGUCUACGAGGAGUACCAGGACUUUAACCAGGAGCAGUACCGUGCCAUCGUCCACCUCUACUCGCGGGAGUAUGACUCCACUACUGUGCUGCACACCGCACAUGGUGUUGGUGUGACCAUCGAUAUGGCUGUCCACGAUGCUGCCUAUGCUGCUCUGACACGUCUUCGUGGAGAGUAUCGGGAGUUGGACACCCCCCCUUUCAGGCACAUUGCUAUCGCAUCUGAUGUUGGUGCGGAGGGAUACUAUACUGCUGCCUACUCCACUGUCACCCGAGAGCCCUUCUACCAUCAGAACCUCGUUCUGCAUGCUGAUGGGCUGGAUCGAGCUAACCGAGCUCUUCGCCAUGAGAUGUACACCACCCGUCAGCACCUUUACCGUGCUCUGACGCUGCUGCACCCCUUUGUCCGAUCUGGACAGCUACCGCGUACUGCGAUCUACCCAGCCAGGACCGUGAUGCCCUAUGGUGUCGGUUGGCCAGAGGUGGGAGGCUACUCUCCCGCACUUGGUCCUCUUCUUCCACCUGAGCGUCGGGCUCUACACCUGAGUAUCCGCGGCCCCCAGUCUGCUGACGUGGAGGGCUAUCUGUUGCCUCACUACCAGCUGUCGGGCUACGAUUACCUCCACAGUACCUCUUGGGACUGAUGUAGGCUUGCUUGUAGUGUUAGAUGCAUUCGCCGCGAGCCUGUGUGCCGCCUAUGAUGUUUUAGUCUAUGUACUGAACUCUAUGCAUGACCCCUUUUGUAAGUUAUGCCGACUACUAUGUAGUAGCUAUCGUGCUCCUUUCAUUAUGCAUGUUUCAUCAUGAAUGAUUCUUUUCUUUGCAAAUUUCUCAAUGCUGAACUACCCCUGUUAUAUAUUAGCAGGAUGGUUAGACCAGGUGGUCGUGGUCGUGGUGGCGAUGCCCCACCACCACCUGAGUACAUGGCUGGUAUGAUCCAACAGUUUGAACUGAACCGCCAAUUCAUGGAAAAUAUGAUGGCUCAGUUUCCUCGCCCCAAUAUGGACCAGCAACCAACCCCAGUAACUCUGCAGGAUUUCAUGCGCCUGAACCCAACUGUGUACCGCAGCUCAACUCAGCCUCUGGAUGCUGAUGACUGGCUCCGUGACAUCACCUAUGAGAUGGAGUCUGCCGAUGUAGCCCCUGCCAGCUAUGUCAACUUUGCUUCCUUCUUUCUGAAGGGACCCGCAGCUCAAUGGUGGGACAGCCACAGGCGUACUCUGCCAGCUGGGACAAUCAUCACCUGGCCAGACUUCCAAGCUGCUUUCCUUGCCCGCUUCAUUCCUCAAGGAGUCAUGGACCGGAAGAAGCGUGAGUUCCGCAACCUCACCCAAGGCAACAAAACUGUUGAAGCUUAUCAACGGGAGUUUCUGGACUUGUCUCGCUAUGCUGAGGAGGACAUUGCAACUGAUGCACGCAGACAGGAGAAGUUCCGUGAUGGCCUUCAAGCUGACAUCAAGCUCGCACUUCUAGUGCAUGACUUUGCUGAUUUCGCCACCUUGGUGAACAAGGCCAUCAAUGUUGAAACUGGUCUGCAGGAAUACCAGAGCUCUCACAGGCGCAACCGUGACACGGGCUCAUCUUCGGGCUCACCCUCACAGAAGCGUAAGAUAUGGAUCCCGAACAACAUGUACCGUCCAAAUGCAUCUGCCCCAAGGCAGACCUAUGCUGCACCUCGUCUGCCUCCACCACCAUCUAGGCAGUCAAGACUUCCAGCCCCACCGUCCCAAGCCCCUGUUCCCACUCCCAAUAAUGGCUUGUGCUUCAGGUGUGGUCAACCAGGGCACCGUGCUAGAGAAUGCAACCAGAACCAGAAUCAACUGGCCCUUCCAACAACUGGCCGUGGUAACAACCAGCCCCGCAACAACAAUGCUAAGUCUUAUGGUCGUGCUCAUGCCAACCACGUUGAUCUCAACGAAGCUCAAGACCAGCCUGCUACUGUGAUGGGUACACUCCUCGUAAAUUUAGCACCAGCAUCCGUUUUAUUUGAUACAGGUGCAUCACAUUCAUUCAUGUCAGAAGAUUUUGCAUUCAUGCAUGGCAUUAAAAGCGAAGACAUGAAUGCUUCACUAUUAGUACACACCCCUGCGGGCCAAUGUCGAACCUCCAUGAUUUGCAACGACGUCCCCGUUGAAAUCGAAGGACUGGAAUUUCUUGUCUCUCCCAUCGUACUGAAGUCCUGUAGCAUUGAUCUCAUUCUGGGAAUGAAUUGGCUAAAAGCGCAUACUGCUUCAAUCGUUUGCACCACUAAGACCGUCCAUCUGCUACACCCUUCAGAUGAGAUAGUUACUUACCAAGCCCAUCUGGUGCAAAAUGCCGAGGCAAGACUCUAUGCAUUGAAUGCAUUGAACGCUGCACCACUCGAGGGCAUUGAAAACAUUCCCGUCGUGCGUGAAUUCCUCGACGUCUUCCCUGAAGAACUUCCAGGGAUUCCCCCUGCUAGAGCUGUCGAAUUCAUCAUCGACUUGAAACCAGGCACCACUCCUAUAGCCAAGCGACCCUACAAAAUGCCGCCGCAUGAACUCCAUGAGCUUAAGGAGGAAAUCGACAAAUCUCUUCGCAAAGGAUUCAUUCGCCCAAGUUGCUCUCCUUGGGGAGCACCUUCUCUCUUUGUCAAGAAGAAGGAUGGGACAAACCGGUUAGUUCAAGACUACCGUCCUAUAAACCAAGCUACCAUUCAGAAUAAAUACCCUCUUCCUCGGAUCAAUGAUCUGUAUGAUCAACUGGCGGGUUCGUUAGUGUUCUCUAAGCUCGACUUGAGGUUGGGUUACCACCAGAUCCAUGUUCGCGAAGAGGAUAUCCCAAAGACCGCCUUCGUGACUCGCUAUGGUUCAUACGAGUACACCGUCAUGUCUUUCGGUUUAACCAAUGCUCCAGCCACCUUCUCUCGUCUGAUGAACUAUAUAUUCAUGGAUUACCUCGACAAGUUCGUCGUGGUUUAUCUGGAUGAUAUCCUGGUAUUUUCCAAGAACGAAGAAGAACAUGCUGAACAUCUUCGACUUGUGCUAGAAAAGCUACGAGAGCAUCAACUAUAUGCCAAGUUCUCCAAAUGUGAAUUCUGGCUACCGGAAGUAACCUAUCUUGGGCAUGUCAUCUCUAAGGAUGGUAUUGCCGUCAACCCCGAGCGAGUUUAGGCUAUUCUUGAUUGGACUCCUCCCAAGAACGUUAAGCAAGUCAGAAGUUUUCUCGGUCUCGCCAGCUAUUGCCGUCGAUUCGUCGAGAACUUUUCCAAGAUCGCCAGGCCUCUGACUAAUCUGUUGCAUAAGGGUAUCAAGUUCCAAUGGACAGACAAAUGUCAGGAAAGUUUCCAGGCACUCAAAGACAUGUUGACUUCUGCUCCAGUUCUAGCUCCACCUGAUACUAAGAAGGACUUCGUCAUUUACUGCGACGCUUCCCGUCAAGGAAUAGGCUGUGUCCUAAUGCAAGACCGCAGAGUGAUUGCUUAUGCCUCUCGGCAACUGCGCCCUCACGAAGAGAACUACCCAGUUCACGACCUCGAACUUGCUGCUGUCAUUCAUGCGCUGAAGCAGUGGCGACAUUACCUUCUUGGUAAUCGUUGCGAGAUCUUCACUGACCACCAAAGUCUGAAGUAUCUGUUUACUCAGCCAGAUCUGAACCUCCGUCAGCAGAGAUGGAUGGAGCUUGUUGCAGACUUUGACUUGGGUAUUUCCUAUACGCCAGGCAAAGCUAAUGUAAUGGCUGAUGCCUUGAGCCGCAUGUCUUACUGCAACCACCUCCAGGUUCACAAAGUUCAGCCCUCGCUUGUUGAAGAAUUCAGGAAGCUGAACCUCCAUAUUGUUCCUCCGGGUGCACUCGCUCCCCCUCCUAAGGAGUUUGGCAAGGUGAACCUCCAUGUUGUUACCCAGGGUUCCCUCAAUACCCUAGUUGCUAAACCAGAUCUCGUGGACAGCAUCAAAAGGCUACAGAAGUAUGACUCUGAAGCCCACAAGAUUAAGCGCUACCUCGCAGAAGGAAAGCCCUCAUUCUUCACUAUUGCUGAAGAUGGCACCUUAUACUUCAAGGGCCGCCUAGUGGUGCCAUGUGCAGAGAAAAACCUGGAUAUGACACAGGAAGUUAUGAAAGAAGCUCAUGAUACGCCUCUAUGUAUCCACCCUGGUAGUACAAAGAUGUACCAAGACAUCCGUCAGAGAUUCUGGUGGUCUAAUAUGAAGCAAGACAUUGCUCGUUAUGUUGCUGAGUGUGACGUUUGCCGUCGUAUCAAAGCAGAACAUCAAAGGCCUGCUGGAACUCUGCAACCUAUCUCUAUUCCUGAAUGGAAAUGGGACCAUGUUGAGAUGGACUUCGUCACUGGAUUUCCCAAGUCACAGCAAGGUAAUGAUGCUAUUCUUGUCGUCAUUGACCGGCUUUCCAAAGUUGCACAUUUCCUGGCGGUCAAGGAAACGAUCACUGCUAGUCAACUGGCAACGCUCUAUAUGUCUAGGAUUGUUUCACUCCACGGUAUUCCAUUGGUUAUCAUCUCAGACCGUGGCAGCUUAUUCACUUCAAGAUUCUGGGCAAGUUUUCAAGAAGCUAUGGGAACUCAUCUGUCAUUCAGUACUGCAUUUCAUCCUCAGUCGCAAGGGCAAGUUGAACGUGUCAACCAAGUUCUCGAAGACAUGCUUCGAGCUUGUGUUAUUUCCUUCGACAAGAAAUGCGAGGAAUCUCUCCCGUAUGCUGAGUUCUCUUAUAAUAAUAGCUAUCAAGCUAGUUUGAAGAUGGCCCCCUUUGAAGUGUUAUAUGGACGAAAGUGCCGAACCCCUCUGAACUGGUCAGAAACUGGGGAACGUCCACUCUUCGGUCCGGAUAUUAUCCAACAUGCCGAAGAACAAGUCCGCAUUAUUCGCGAGAACCUCAAGACUGCUCAGUCACGUCAGAAGAGUCAGUAUGACCGUCAUCAUAAAGACAUGGUCUAUCAACCUGGCGAAAAGGCUUAUCUUCGAGUCACACCUAUGAAGGGUGCUCACCGCUUCGGAAUCAAGGGCAAGCUAGCUCCUCGCUAUAUUGGCCCAUUCACUAUUCUCGAAAGGCGUGGAAAAGUGGCAUACCAACUGGAGCUACCGCCGAACCUUUCUCAGGUUCACGAUGUGUUCCAUGUGUCACAGCUCCGCCGUUGCUUCAAGGACCCAAUCCGAGCAGUGGAUCAUGAAGUGCUCGAAUUGCAGCAAGACCUCUCCUAUAAGGAGCAUCCGGUCCGCAUUCUCGACCAAGCUGAACGCCGCACACGUCAGAAGGCGAUCAAGUUUCUCAAGGUCCAGUGGUCGCACCAUUCUGAAGAUGAGGCCACUUGGGAACGCCCGGAUAAUCAUGCUACAGUAAUCUCACGUUAAUGAUGCCACGUCACCACGGUUACUGUUGUUAACCUCGCGAUGAUUCGAAACCGUUUCAAAAUUUAAAUUCAAAUUAAUGUCAAUAAUAAAAGUUUUCAAAAAUUUAAACAAAAAUGUUCCGUGGGUGCCAGAUAUUGCACUGAUAAUUAUUGUGGAGAAAACAUAUUUUUAGAAAAUGCCUAACUAUUUUAAAAUAAUGUAAAACAGAAAAGAAAAUAAAUAAAAAGAAAAGAAAAUGCAACAGAGGAAACAAACAAAAAAAAACAAAAACAAAAGAGGAG